GACCAAUGUUAUGUGUCCAGCUCGGAGGACGGCUCGUUGUGAUUAAGAUUAGGUUGUAGCUAAUUGUCUACCUUGCUACGCUGAGACAUGAUGUUGGAGUCCAGUUGUUAUCACAGACACAAAGGAGUCUUCUUGAUUAAGAAGGAGGCAGUCCGGAGUUGUGAAGUUAUUCUUCUUAAGAGACAGAAGAGACUUCUGUCUUGCUGGCUGAUACUGAGGUCUCAUCAUCAACCGCACCACCCAUUCCAACUGUAGAGAGCAUGCAGUUACGGAACUGAAAAGGAGAAAACAUGCAGAGCUUUAGCGUUGGCACAGAUGUUUCAUCUUUCAUAUUUACCUGGACCAGCCAGCCAGUGGAGGGGCGGCACAAGCGAAAGCCAUGAUCCAGGUGAAAACAACUCCAGCUCCUGCGUGAGUUCCGGUGAACUUGAAGCUUCCCAUGGGUUUGCAGAC